rnacentral:tRNA from 1 species
GGGCCUCUGGCGGAAUCGGUAGACGCGCCGCACUCAAAAUGCGGUUGGGAGACCAGUCCCGGUUCGAGUCCGGGGAGGCCCA